UACGAAGGGUGCAAGCGUUACUCGGAAUUACUGGGCGUAAAGCGUGCGUAGGUGGUGAGUUAAGUCUGUCGUGAAAGCCCCGGGCUCAACCUGGGAAUGGCGAUGGAUACUGGCUCGCUAGAGUGCGGUAGAGGAGAGUGGAAUUCCUGGUGUAGCGGUGAAAUGCGCAGAUAUCAGGAAGAACACCGAUGGCGAAGGCAGCUCUCUGGGACGGUACUGACGCUGAGACGCGAAAGCGUGGGGAGCGAACAGG
rnacentral:rRNA from 1 species